AGCCAUUCCUUCGAGCUCCUCUUGGUUCCUGGGAAAAUACUGGACACGGUCACCGAGCCGAUUGUGAACGCUAAGCCUGCCCCCCAGCCGAUCAUGAACUGACGCCCUUCCUUUGAUCGGCCCAUUAAAUCGCCGUUCAUCAUCAUGAUAACGCCGAUCGGUUCUAUCGUACCGAUCAUAACCGUUGCACUCAGGGCAG
rnacentral:lncRNA from 1 species